AUGGCUCAGGAUGAACGCUGGCGGCGUGCCUAACACAUGCAAGUCGAACGGAGAUAAGACGCUGACGAGACUUCGGUCAAAUCUUGUUUAUCUUAGUGGCGGACGGGUGAGUAACGCGUGGGCAACCUGCCUCAUACUGGGGGAUAGCAGUUGGAAACGACUGAUAAUACCGCAUAAGCGCACGGAGUCGCAUGACUUUGUGUGAAAAAACUCCGGUGGUAUGAGAUGGGCCCGCGUCAGAUUAGCCAGUUGGCAGGUAACGGCCUACCAAAGCGACGAUCUGUAGCCGGCCUGAGAGGGCGGACGGCCACAUUGGGACUGAGACACGGCCCAAACUCCUACGGGAGGCAGCAGUGGGGAAUAUUGGGCAAUGGGGGAAACCCUGACCCAGCAACGCCGCGUGAGGGAAGAAGGUUUUCGGAUCGUAAACCUCUGUCCCAGGUGAAGAGGAAGAGACGGUAGCCUGGGAGGAAGCCCCGGCUAACUACGUGCCAGCCGCUGC
rnacentral:rRNA from 1 species